CUUCGACAGAAUUCUGCAACUAGAUCUGCAUGGCCGCAGGCAGAGCAAUUUGUCAUGUUCGAAUUCGUUUGAUCCCAGCUUGAGCACGCAGAAACGAAUCGCAAUUCCCAACGAACGAAUUCAAAUCCGACGAGGACGUCUGCCGAAGACGAUCUCGACAGAAAGGGAAGGCGCAAUGAAGAGGAAGUUGGUUGGUGAACAAGGAGAGACAGCCAGAGAGGGGAGGCAGAGGUAGUGCUUUCGGGAGGUGCUUGAAGCCCUUGAAGAUGAAGUUGGUUGGUGAACAAGCGACGGCAUUGAGGCGGCCAUUGUACGUGGGCGCGGUGCUGCUGCCUGCGUGCUCGCCGCCGCCGUCAUUUCGUCUGCUAUCUUCUACUCGCUCGAAUGCUGGGGCCUCGGGGGGGUUGUGAAUCGCGCGAAUUCCCUGUAUGGAUGGGUCCUGGAGGCGAUCUGCUCUGAUCGUCAGGGCGGGUUCACGGCGGCCGGAGCCGCCAUAGCCACGCCGACUGGCGAGGUCGUGGCACUUUUUCACAAAGUCCCAUCGCGAUCCAAAUUAGGGGGGUUUGUGUAAAUAAUAUUCACAAUAUUUUACUUUAACCCCCUAUCAGGCCAUGACUUUUUCCAACAUAGUCCUCCAAUGCGCUGGCGUCGUCCACGCUCUCUCCCCGUCCCCGAUGGAUCCCGGUCCCCGUCCGGCGACGGCGACGGCUGCCUUGCCGUUGAGGAUAGGAUUCUUCUCCUCCUGGGUUGUCUCUUCCCGGUGACGAAGAGAAGCGGCGCGGCAGAAGGAAGACGAGAGGUUCCGUUCCGGAAGAUGGCGGUGGGCGACCUGGCUACGGCGUCUCUAGUCUACCUCGCCGCCGCCGCAGACCUCUCAUGGCACGCCGAGCAAUCCGCUGAAUUCGAUCGAACUGAUGCUCAUGUUGCAAAAGCAACAGAUACUUGAUGUGAAUUACGGCAUUCAGCAGUGGAUCUACAGAUAAUUGGUUCGGAUAGCGGUUGUUGGUCAGAUUGGAUGUCAGUGUACACUGCAGAAGCUUUGAGUUAGUUUUGGAUGCCAUUGCCAAAUGUCGGGGAAAAGAAGGAGCUUGGAAAAUUGGAAGUGGAUCCUAAAUGUCCUGCUUGUGCGAGAUUUGUUCGAUGAUGGUGCCAGACUGGAGUAGUAUCUAUUGUCAAAAGGCUAACGGUACUUCAAGAAUCCACCUGCUUACAGCUUGAGGAGUGUGGCGAAGCGGUUUUCAGAACUGUGCAGCUUGAAGGUGGCCGGGGGUUUGUGCGUGAUCAAGAAGCCCAAAUUGUUGCUGGGGGUUCAGGAGCUCUCAGUUUCUACCAUGUUUAUGGUGCUCUCCAAAUUGAAGCUACCACUAUGAGUCAUGCGAUCUCCAGAGCUGCAGAACUGGGAGUAAUUUGGAAACUGAUGAUGCAACUGUUCUGAAACCGGAUGUUACAGCCAACAAUUUCAACCUGACGGUGCACAGGGUACUAUUUGGCGAGGGUGAAGGGAAAAUUAGGCUUGUAUUAGUGAGCUGUCUUUUUAUUGAACUUGUAAGAAUGUUGCUGAUGCCACUGCUGCUCAUGAUAUGCAGCUGGGGGCUUCGAGUAAUGUAUUCUGGCUCAACGCCUUCUCUGAAUUUGUUACUAUGUCCUUUGCUAGCACUGCCAAGCUUGUCAUUGUAAUGGAAGUAACGUGUUCAAUAAAUAAAAUUUGAAAACCA